rnacentral:rRNA from 1 species
GACGAACGCUGGCGGCGUGCUUAACACAUGCAAGUCGAGCGCCGCGGCGAACGGGUGAGUAACGCGUGAGUAACUGCCCCCCUCUCUGGGAUCACAGUUGGAAACGGCUGCUCAUACCGGAUAGUGGGGGAUGACUCGCGUCCUAUCGGCUUGUUGGUGGGGUAGUGGCCUACCAAGGCGUCGACGGGUAGCCGGCCUGAGAGGGCGACCUGCCACAUUGGGCUGAGAUACGGCCCAAACUCCUACGGUAGGCAGCAGUGGGGAAUAUUGCACAAUGGGGGAAACCCAGAGGCAGCAACGCGCGUGCGUGAUGACGGCCUUCGGGUUGUAAACCGCUUUCAGCCAUGCUGCGGUAUUGGCAGAAGAAGCAACGGCUAACUACGUGCCAGCAGCCGCGGUAAUAC